GUUUUGACUAAUAGGAAUGGCGAUACUCGAACUCCUGGGGUAUUCAAUGGAAGCUUCAAAAAGAUAUUACCUCAUUUGAUCUUUGUAUACACCUCAUUAGAUACUGACAGCUAUUCAACAAAUAAAGAAAAAGAGGCAUAGAAAAUUUGGAUAACUUACUAAAGUCAUUGAGACAACAGACAGCCAAGGCAUUGGCACAGUCUUUGGACAUGAAAAUCAUGGAGAAGGAAGAGGCUGAUUGUUAUCCAUGAUUAGGCAGUGCAGAUAUAGCUCAAUAUUCCAAAUGGGAUGUUUUGGCCUUGGAGUUAAGUUCCAAGAGCAUUAUAAAAUAAUCACCUGUAUAGGAAGUCCUGACUUAACUCUAUUAACAACUUCGAAAGUCACAUACCUGAAGAUGAUCCUGCAUGUCCAUAGAGCCUAGGUCCCUCAAAAGAUGGUGUUGCAAUGACAGAAAUUGAGACAUCAAGAGAACGUUUAGCAGAAUAAGUUAGUUAAGAUGUAGGUGUGUCGAAAGUUUCAGGUGUCAGUAAACAUCAAAAGAAAAUGUAGCAGUAGCUAGAAAUUUCCAGGCUGAAGAUGAAGGUUAAAGCUAAAGAUAGACUAUUUUUGUCAUCUACAUGGAAGAUGAUGGCUAAAGCUAUAAGAGUGAAUGACAUCAGCAAGGAAGAAAAUACAGGAAUAAGGAAGAAGAGAUGGUGAAAUGGCUACUCGUAAGGAGUGGGAGAAAGAAUAAAUGAGAAGAAAAUGAAGAAUGUGUGGCCAAGAACAUAGGAGAAAAGCCAGGAAGAUCAAUGUCUUAUCAACAGACAGAUUUGAGCAGCAGGCUGGGAGAAGGGUCCACACAAAAAUUCUGAGAUGGAGAUGAUGGCUAAAGUUAGAGUUCACAUUGGAUGACUUUGAACUCAGUAAACUAGGUGAAUUUGCCAGAAGAUAUGAAGCUGUGGGAACUUGGAAGCCCAGGACACUAUGAUAUUGAUUACAGGGAAAUAGUUCAAAAAUAUCACAAGAUUACAAGCAGCUGUAAGUGUCUUGACUAGCGAAAGACCUUGGAUUUGUAGAGCAUCAGUCUAUGUAUGUCUACAACAAUAUUCAUCAAUUUUAUUAAUCCAAGACUGGGUAUUAGAACAGGCAGGGAGUUAGGAGAACUUGGUAUUGACAGGGGCAAUGUCAGUCAGCAACAUGGCAGCAUGCAAAGAACUUUGGUCUGUGAGAUCAGGAAUCUAGGUUCUGGGUUCAUUCAUUACAUUGUCCUAGGCUAAUAACUUUCUUCUUUCACUCUUAUGUCUUCAUUUGUAAACUGGAGAUGCUAGACUAUGUAAUUUCAAAUAUGGUUUCAAAUGGAAAGAAAAUCUUAUUCUUGAGGCAAAGUAGAGUUGCAGAAAGAGCAACAUCUUUGUGGUCAGGCUUUACUCUCUACUUCUGCCACUUUAUCGCCUGUGACCUUGAGAAAGUUACUUCUUUGCACCUCAGUUUCCUCAUCCAUAAAAUGGUGAAAAGAG
rnacentral:lncRNA from 1 species